AUGUAAGUCUAUCAAAAUAUACAUUUAUGAAAUUUUUCAAAAUUUACAGAGAAAUACAUCACAUACAACAUAUGCUUUGUAGUUGAAAGAUGCAUUUACAUAAAUAUGUGACAUGUAAUAAAACCUGUGUAAAGUUAACUGUGGUGUGCACCUUUGAGUCUUAGAUGUCCUUUGUUGCUACUAUUGUGAUUUUAAGCCCUGUAGCUUUCUCCUUUUAAGUGCCCUGUACCAGGUAAGCACUUUGUCUCUAGUUAAUACAUGUGUCAUUAUAAACUAUGAGUUACUGGGUCUCUCCUUAAACACUGCACAUGCCAUGAAGAUGUUUUUAUGGAAUUAUGUGUUAAUGAAAUGGUCAAGACUUCUAGUCAAUGAGGCUGUCCAUAAUGAUUUUGGAGACUCAAAUGUGUUAUGGCUUGGAUUUGGGUAAUAUAGGAUAGUAAAUCUUUUUCUUUCCUUUUCUAUUCUCCUCAUAUUGAAAAAGAAAAAAGUUUGUUUCUUUGUUUAUUUCUCUCUUUGUUUUUGAGAUAAGGUCAUCCUCUCUCCCAGGUUUCUCUGAAGCUCACUCUAUAGCCUUGUUUGGUCUUGGACAUUUGAGUAUUCAAAUACUUUAUGAACAGCCCAAUUGUAAUGGGCAUAAAUUCUUAAUCACAACAUGAACAUACGUUUCAACUAAAACAAUUGUGUCCUACAAAGUCUGUAAGGAGAAUAGCUUACAUUUUAAUGUAGCACAUGAAUUUGUAGGCUUCUCAGUGUGCGCUUAACAAAUGUGUUCCAUCAUAUCUAGUUUAGUGAAGAAAUUUUAAGAGGUUAAGUCCUGUUGGGAGCAGGUCUCAGACAGAUGUUGGAGCUAUAGCUCUUCGUAUCCAUCUUUAACCUUGGCCAUAGUGAAAGGGCAUCUUCUGCCACAUCUUCUUACCAUAAUGUACUGCCCUGUAAAUACCUAAUUUUGGGGUGGUGAACUGGCCGUUGAGUAAUUGGCUCACUAACAGACUAUGAGCCCAAAUAAACCUUCCACCAGUUUUCCCUUUUAAAUGGAUAUUUUAGGCUGUUUAUUAUUAUUAUUAUUAUUAUUAUUAUUAUUAUUAUUAUUAUUAUUAUUAUUACAGUCCAGUCAUUACCCUCCUCCUGGCCUGCCCUCUGGCUGUUCCUCAUCACAUUCCUCGUCCCCUUUAUCCAAGAGAAUGUUCUUAACUCCCGACCCCCACCCCACCAGAUCUCCCCACUCCCUGGGGCCACAAAUCUCUCAGAGGUUAGGUGCUUCUUCUCUCACAGAGGCCAGGCGAGGCAAUCCUCUGCUGUAUAUGUGUUGGGGGCUUCAUAUCAGCUUGUGUACGCUGCUGGUUGGUGGCUCAGUGUCUGAGAGAUCUCAGGGGUCCAUGUUAGUUGAAGCUGCUGAUCUUCUUAUGGGGUCAUAUUUAUCACUUUUGAGACUAUAAUAUAUUUUGGAUUGCUUUCCCUUUUCUAUCUCCUCCUCCCUUUCCCCACACUCCAAAAAUAUCCAUUCUGUACUCUCUAUCAAAGUUUGGUCCAUUUAUCUUUUUAAUAUUAACCACAUCUUCACUUCUAAAUGCAUAAAUGCAUUUUAAGUUGAUUAUCUCACUUAUUUUGCCACAAUAAUAGAAAUCUCUAUGUGUAGGCAAAUAAGUAACUUCUUAUAUUUUUCUAAUUUUUGUUUAAAGAAAAUAUUAUAAUUUUAAAUAUUUCUAUUGAUAAGCUUUAUUUUUCUCUCUACAUAGUUUUCACUUUAAAAGUGAUUUUAAAUAAGAUAAACUGCAACAUACAGAGAAAAACUCUCCAGAAAAAAUCAAAAUUUGGGGGUAUGUUUGUUUGUUUGUUUGUGUUAAGUUUUCUAGAUAGUACAAAAGAGUUUUCUAUUUUACUUUAUUCACAGACAAUUUUGUCCCUUAAUAUUUAGGUCUGCCACUGAUAGUAAAAACAAAAAUAAAAACAAAAACACUUUUGUUGAGUUGUCUAAAUUCCUUUGGGUUGUUAUGCAUGCCUUUUUAUUCGGCAUUAUAGAGUCCACCUCAACAUGAACUUUUGGUUAGUGAAGAUUCAAUAAAGAAGGAAAUUGUAAGCAUUUUCAGGUUGCAUUGCCUCAGCUCAAAGUCCUGAACACGAUUUGAAUUCCAUAGAGUGAUAUACUGUAUCUCUCCUGGACUGUCAGGGUGGAGGAAAGGAAUGUAGCAGCAGUUAUAAACAUAUCACACACAGACAUUUAUUCAGACAAAUAGAGAUGUACUUGUGUGUCACUUUAAAGCUCAGCUGCUUAUGGUCUUGGAAUAUAGCUGACAACAGAAUGCAUUUUUUAACAUGGGGUUUGGAAAACAUAUAACCAAUCCAAACAGAAUAUGGCAUCAAGGAUAAGAGUUCCUGUUGUUAGUAUCGGUAUUUCAAUGAAUUGACUUAGCCGUAUUAAAAAGAGCAUAAUAGUUU
rnacentral:lncRNA from 1 species